UCCCUGGUGGCCUAGUAGUGAGGGUUAUGGGCUUCCACUGCUCUGACUCAGGUUCAAUUCCUGGUCAGGGAG
rnacentral:tRNA from 1 species